rnacentral:rRNA from 1 species
GAUGAACGCUAGCGGCGGGCUUAAUACAUGCAAGUCGUGGGGCAGCAGGACUGUAGCAAUACAGUUGCUGGCGACCGGCAAACGGGUGCGGAACACGUACGCAACUUACCCUGAACUGGGGGAUAGCCCGGGGAAACCCGGAUUAAUACCCCGUAAUAUAAUGGAGUGGCAUCACUUUAUUAUUAAAGCUCCGGCGGUUCGGGAUGGGCGUGCGGCUGAUUAGGGAGUUGGUUGAGGUAACGGCUCACCAAGCCUACGAUCAGUAACUGGUGUGAGAGCACCACCCAUGACACGGGCACAGGGGCAGCGGCCCGGCUACUGCGGGACGGAGCAGUAAGGGACGUUAGGCAAUGGUGGGCAAUCUUGCCCAACCAUGCCAGGUGGGAGAUGGCAGCCCUCUGGGUUGUAAACUUCUUUUAGAGGGGGAGAAACCUGUUUAUUCUUACGCAAUUGACGGUACCCUAAGAAUAAGCACCGGCUAACUCCGUG